rfam:Camelus ferus unplaced genomic scaffold scaffold1112, whole genome shotgun sequence.
GAGGGUAUAGCUCAAUGGUUGAGCACGUGCUUAGCAUGCACGAGAUCCUGGGCUCAAUCCCCAGUACCUCCA